rnacentral:rRNA from 1 species
AUUGAACGCUGGCGGCAGGCCUAACACAUGCAAGUCGAGCGGAUGAGUGGAGCUUGCUCCAUGAUUCAGCGGCGGACGGGUGAGUAAUGCCUAGGAAUCUGCCUGGUAGUGGGGGACAAAGUUUCGAAAGGAACGCUAAUACCGCAUACGUCCUACGGGAGAAAGCAGGGGACCUUCGGGACUUGAGCUAUCAGAUGAGCAUAGGUGGGAUUAGCUAGUUGGUGAGGUAAAGGCUCACCAAGCCGACGAUCCGUAACUGGUCUGAGAGGAUGAUCAGUCACACUGGAACUGAGACACGGUCCAGACUCCUACGGGAGGCAGCAGUGGGGAAUAUUGGACAAUGGGCGAAAGCCUGAUCCAGCCAUGCCGCGUGUGUGAAGAAGGUCUUCGGAUUGUAAAGCACUUUAAGUUGGGAGGAAGGGCAGUAAGUUAAUACCUUGCUGUUUUGACGUUACCGACAGAAUAAGCACCGGCUAACUUCGUGCCAGCAGCAGCCGCGGUAA